rnacentral:hammerhead_ribozyme from 1 species
AUUCAGUUGAAGAGUCCCAAAUAGGUCGAAAAACGCGUCAAACUGAAU